rnacentral:rRNA from 1 species
GACGAACGCUGGCGGCGUGCCUAAUACAUGCAAGUUGAGCGCUGAAGGUUGGUACUUGUACCAACUGGAUGAGCAGCGAACGGGUGAGUAACGCGUGGGGAAUCUGCCUUUGAUCGGGGGACAACAUUUGGAAACGAAUGCUAAUACCGCAUAAAAACUUUAAACACAAGUUUUAAGUUUGAAAGAUGCAAUUGCAUCACUCAAAGAUGAUCCCGCGUUGUAUUAGCUAGUUGGUGAGGUAAAGGCUCACCAAGGCGAUGAUACAUAGCCGACCUGAGUGGGUGAUCGGCCACAUUGGGACUGAGACACGGCCCAAACUCCUACGGGAGGCAGCAGUAGGGAAUCUUCGGAAAUGGACGAAAGUCUGACCGAGCAACGCCGCGUGAGUGAAGAAGGUUUUCGGAUCGUAAAACUCUGUUGGUAGAGAAGAACGUUGGUGAGAGUGGAAAGCUCAUCAAGUGACGGUAACUACCCAGAAAGGGACGGCUAACUACGUG